rnacentral:rRNA from 1 species
CUUCGGCGGUUUGGGAAGAGCCCGCGCAAGAUUAGCUAGUUGGUGAGGUAAAAGGGCUCACCAAGGCGACGAUCUUUAGCUGGUUUGAGAGGAUGAUCAGCCACACUGGAACUGAGACACGGUCCAGACUCCUACGGGAGGCAGCAGUUAGGAAUUUUCCACAAUGGGCGCAAGCCUGAUGGAGCAACGCCGCGUGCAGGAUGAAGGUUUUCGGAUUGUAAACUGCUUUUAUAAGUGAAGAAUAUGACGGUAACUUAUGAAUAAGGAUCGGCUAACUCCGUG